rnacentral:lncRNA from 1 species
GUGGAAAUUACUUUUUAAAGCUAAUUAGCUGGGCGUUAAGUCUCAUCAGAUACUUAACCUAUCAGGUUGGGCUCUGCCUAUUUCUGAUGCUGCCAGGAUGCAUCAGGAGCUUUCCCAGCAUGGAGAUGUGCUUCCUGCUCUGUGGGCUGUGUGAUGUGAAGAAAAUAGAUUGCUGAAUGUAAAGCUUCAGGGAAUAACAUUUAAAGGAGAGAAAUUGCCUUGUGUGUUUUUACUGCAUAGGCACCUCGUUGGCCAACACAGCGUUCCACCCUUUGCAUGCCAUGGGAAGGUGUUGUUAGCACUGAUGCUUUCUGAAACAGAGUGUGCAGCAAUUGUCCAGGUCACUCUUCACCCAACACCUCCCAGCCACUGUAUGCUGCAAGGUGGGAGAAGCAGGAGCCGGGACCCAGCCACCACCCUGGUACAGCUGGGCUGGGGGUGAAGGCUGUGUGGCUUUGUCAGCCUCAGAGCUUUUGUGCAGCUUGCUGUCAGUGAUUAUUUCAGACUGAGUGAGCAACAGACCUUGCAACAGACCAAAGCAAAAGAUUUUGGGCACCCCAUCUCUGACAUUCCUUUUGCCACGAAUGCUGGUGUUGCCUGCUUGUCAAGCUCAAGGUCAUCAGAUAAUCAAGCCCCUUUGGCUCUGCAAGGCUCCAUUUGACAAAUUAACCCUAACAAACAAGUAGAGCUAGCAGAAGAGUUUCUGUACAUCUACCGAACCUGCCAUAUUCCUUCCACUAGAGGACGGUAGCUCUUGUACGCAGCUUUCAGCAGCAUUUUACAGCAGAAGCUGGGAUAAAGCAGCCCAACCCUUCCUGCAGAAACACGCUCCUUUCUAGUGGUUUCCACAUCAUGAAUCCCAGUGAAUAUUUAACUAAGUCUCCCCUGUAAUCAAGUUUCUUUCCUCUUCACUUUCAUCCACGAUGUAAAGCAUUUCCUGAUUGAUUGCAUUUAGUAGCCCAGAAAGUCUCCCUCUGUGUCUAUUUCUCUGCUCAGCUGG